GAGAGAGACAUGCGCGCAUAUCAAUAAGCGGAGGAAAAGAAACUAACUAAGGAUUCCCUCAGUAACGGCGAGUGAAGCGGGAAGAGCUCAAAUUUGAAAUCUUCAAGGUUCUACCUUGACGAAUUGUAGUUUAAAGAAGUGUUUUCUGUUGGAGUUUUGGUAAAAGUUCUUUGGAAUAGGACAUCAUAGAGGGUGAGAAUCCCGUAUUUGACCAUUAUUUCCAACUUUGUGAUACACUUUCAAAGAGUCGGAUUGUUUGGGAAUGCAGUCCAAAAUGGGUGGUAAAUUUCAUCUAAAGCUAAAUAUUGGCGAGAGACCGAUAGCGAACAAGUACCGUGAGGGAAAGAUGAAAAGAACUUUGAAAAGAGAGUUAAACAGUACGUGAAAUUGUCAAAAGGGAAGCGUUUGACACCAGUGUUGUUUUUCCGAAAAUCAAUUAAGAAUGUUUUAGUUUUUGAGGAGUUAUGACUUCAUCGGCUUGCUCCUUUCUUUAUGGAAACUUUCUUAAUGCACUUUUCGGUUAACAAGUCAACAUCAAUUUCUUUUGUUGUAAAAGGGUCAUUGAGGAAGGUGGCUUUCUUUUCGGAGAAAGUGUUUAUAGCCUUGUGACUCCUGCAAUCGGAGAGACUGAGGUCUGCAGCGUAGAUCCUUCUGGGAUUAGAUUCAGUUUAUGCUAAGUUAUAGCUUUUCAUAGACAACUUGUUGACUAUGUUUAGUCUUGUAGCUUACUCGCUGAUGUAUUUUACCUACGCUUAGGAUGUUGACAGCAGUAUAGACUGU
rnacentral:rRNA from 1 species